rnacentral:rRNA from 1 species
CGGAUUCUGGCUCAGAUUGAACGCUGGCGGCAGGCCUAACACAUGCAAGUCGAACGGUAACAGGAAGAAGCUUGCUCUUGCUGACGAGUGGCGGACGGGUGAGUAAUGUCUGGGAAACUGCCUGAUGGAGGGGGGAUAACUACUGGAAACGGUAGCUAAUACCGCAUAACGUCGCAAGACCAAAGAGGGGGACCUUCGGGCCUCUUGCCAUCGGAUGUGCCCAGAUGGGAUUAGCUAGUAGGUGGGGUAACGGCUCACCUAGGCGACGAUCCCUAGCUGGUCUGAGAGGAUGACCAGCCACACUGGAACUGAGACACGGUCCAGACUCCUACGGGAGGCAGCAGUGGGGAAUAUUGCACAAUGGGCGCAAGCCUGAUGCAGCCAUGCCGCGUUGUAUGAAGAAGGCCUUCGGGUUGUAAAGUACUUUCAGCGGGGAGGAAGGGAGUAAAGUUAAUACCUUUGCUCAUUGACGUUACCCGCAGAAGAAGCACCGGCUAACUCCGUGCCAGCAGCAGC